rnacentral:rRNA from 1 species
ACACGGACCAAACUCCUACGGGAGGCAGCAGUGAGGAAUAUUGGUCAAUGGGCGCGAGCCUGAACCAGCCAAGUCGCGUGAGGGAUGAAGGUUCUAUGGAUCGUAAACCUCUUUUAUAAGGGAAUAAAGUGCGGGACGUGUCCCGUUUUGUAUGUACCUUAUGAAUAAGGAUCGGCUAACUCCGUGCCAGCAGCCGCGGUAAUACGGAGGAUCCGAGCGUUAUCCGGAUUUAUUGGGUUUAAAGGGUGCGUAGGCGGCCUUUUAAGUCAGCGGUGAAAGUCUGUGGCUUAACCAUAGAAUUGCCGUUGAAACUGGGGGGCUUGAGUAUGUUUGAGGCAGGCGGAAUGCGCGGUGUAGCGGUGAAAUGCUUAGAUAUCACGCAGAACCCCGAUUGCGAAGGCAGCCUGCCAAGCCAUGACUGACGCUGAUGCACGAAAGCGUGGGGAUCAAACAGGAUUAGAUACCCUGGUAGUCCACGCAGUAAACGAUGAUCACUAGCUGUUUGCGAUACAUUGUAAGCGGCACAGCGAAAGCGUUAAGUGAUCCACCUGGGGAGUACGCCGGCAACGGUGAAACUCAAAAGAAUUGACGGGGGCCCGCACAAGCGGAGGAACAUGUGGUUUAAUUCGAUGAUACGCGAGGAACCCUACCCGGGUUUGAACGCAUUCGGACCGAGGUGGAAACACCUUUUCUAGCAAUAGCCGUUUGCGAGGUGCUGCAUGGUUGUCGUCAGCUCGUGCCGUGAGGUGUCGGCUUAAGUGCCAUAACGAGCGCAACCCCUGCCACUAGUUACUAACAGGUAAAGAUGAGGACUCUGGUGGGACUGCCAGCGUAAGCUGCGAGGAAGGCGGGGAUGACGUCAAAUCAGCACGGCCCUUACAUCCGGGGCGACACACGUGUUACAAUGGCGUGGACAAAGGGAGGCCACCUGGCGACAGGGAGCGAAUCCCCAAACCACGUCUCAGUUCGGAUCGGAGUGUGCAACCCGACUCCGUGAAGCUGGAUUCGCUAGUAAUCGCGCAUCAGCCAUGGCGCGGUGAAUAAAUUCCCGGGCCUUGCACU